UUUUAAAUCUAAAUGUCUAUUUGGAAAAGAUUCUAUGUAUGCAGAUUAUGAGCACCCCUUCACUGAUGGUUUAGUCCAAUUAGGUCAAUUUGUUUGUUGAGAGGGAAUACAGAGGGUGGUUGUUGCUACAGUUCUGGUUUGUCAUACAAGAAAAAUGCCCUUAGAUACAAUGUUUUAGCAAAAAGUUUCCUAUUUACACAUCAAGCAGACAUGGAGUAACAUUAACAUUCACCUGGAAUUGUAUGUGAGCUCACCUGUUAAAUCCGACGUUCGGCUCAAUCGAGAGAGAGAAGUUCUGGAGAAGUUCUCCUUCAGCUUCCAAGACCUCUUCAAGCCCUGCAGUCAGAGUUCACUUCACAAGGACAAGUGAGCCAGGCCUUGGGCUGCCAGCGGAGGACGUGAAGUCAAGCCAGGGAGCCAAGGCCACUGUCAGCUCUCAGUGGUUAGAAUAACCCAGAAAAACCUCCUGGGAACCGGACUUGGAUCAGACUGGUGCUGGCAGGGAGAACAAGUGAGAGAUAAGCCUCUAACUGGUGAAUCUAUCAAUCAAAGCGGACUUUUGGUUCGUACCUGAAGCAACAUGCCCGACCAACGUCUGAGUUUUUAACAGUCUACCAAUCAACGUUCCAGAACCAACAAUGCACCGCUGGAUUUGUUGACAAUCAGCUUUUCUGGAUACUUUAGAGAUGCAGCAGUUCAUCAGCCUGGAGCUCGUGGAGCACUUUUUGGCCGAGGGGGACGGAGUGAUGAAAGAGAAAUUUGGAAGGUGGAGAGGGAGAGAGUUUGGAGAGUUCCCCUGUAUGUUGUGUUACAGCUGACCCUGUCCUCAACUUUGACCCCUGACCCCACAAGAGAUCUGUCAUGAGAGGGAGCUGCUUAACACAAAAUGGAGCCUGGUUCAAGAGUCAGAAGGAGAGAGAGACAUGCACAGAGUGGAGCAGAGAGAGAGGGAGACAGUGCUCCACCGCACACAGAGGACUCAUUUAUCCUCUCUCUCUUGACUGCAGUUUUUUUCUUCCUCUCUUUUGUUUUCACUGCACAGAAACUGUUGCCCUUUCUUCCUAUACUUCUCCUCUCUUUCUCUCUGUCUUUCCUCCCCCCAUCUUCUCACCCUCGCCUUUGCUUCUGGACAACAGCAUGCUAUCGUCAGCGGCCACCGCCGCCACCACAGGUACGGAUUCAUGGCUGGGAGGACCAGCAGGAUUCUGGGGGGGAAUUUGUGAGACGAGGCUUUAAUGAGAGCGAGGCCUCGUCAGCCGGCGAGAAAUGUAUGCAAAUGAUAUGCACACACCAAAAGGACCCUGGGUAGGCGAGGCGAGCGCCGGCCGAGCUCCUGCUGAGCUCUGAGGAAGAUGAGCGGCUCAGGUCAGAAGAAUGACAACAAAACACCUCCUCCUCCUUUUCUUAUUGCCGUACUUUCUCUUUAUCCUGCAUCGAGGAGAGCAGAGAGAUGAAACUGGUAAACACAUUAGCUGAAAGAUGAGUUUGUUGUGUUGCUACAUUAUUCUGUUUUAGUUUGCUGUUGCUAGGUAGAUUUUUUUUUUUCUGUUAUUCAUCUUUGUAAGCACACUGACAUAUGUGAGGUAAAUUAUCUGGAGAUUAAACACAUCUGUGUUUUACAUCCAGACUUUCCAGACUUUUAAUUGUCAUACAUUAUUACCCUAAAAAUAAAAAUUGAGCUCAGCAGAGAACUCACAUUGUGCCCUCUAAUUGUGCUUAUGGAAGUCAUUUUUGUUAAUAGAGGAAUUUGACAGUAACUUCUUUUGACACUUAAUUUGGAAAUUUAAACUCCCAACAUGGCUAUUUAAUCAUCAGGGUGCAGUGUUUGUAAUAGGCUCAGAUGUAAGUGAAAUGACCUGUUUUACUUCUGUAAUAAAAUGCAUUUGUCAACAAUUAUAA